rnacentral:rRNA from 1 species
AUGCUCUUCGCCGCCGCCGCCGCCGACCUCGGCCUCCGGACCCUGAUCGCCGCCGACAAGGACGUGAACCGCAACCGCAACGUUGCCACGCGCACCAUAGCCGCCUCGCGCCGCGCGGUCUGCUCCCCCGGUGGCGGAGACCGCGAUCCGGAGGUCUUUGAGGGGGAGGAGGGCUGGGAUGAGGGCGAGGGGGAGGGCCGCGGGUGUUGGGUGACGUACGGGUGGCGCCGGCGUCGCCUCCACCGCCUCCCGCCGCUGAUCCCGUCGCUGCGCCGGGCGGGCAGCUCGCCGUGGGCGCUGACGCGCACGCGCACCGCGGACGGGCGUGUCGUGGUCCUGCGGGAGCCCGCCCCGCGCCGGGGCCGCGUCGUCGCCAGGAGGAUGGACGGCCGCCUCAUCCUCGACCUCGUCGACAGCAGCCCGGUGGCCCCGCCGCCGAGACAGCGCCUGGUGCAUCCUUCUAUCGUGCAGGAACCCGACGACGUGCCCUACACAGACGACGCAGAAGCAUCAGACGCGGAGGAGGAGGAAACGGCGAGCGGCACCGACAUUGUGAACCCCCGCGGCCUUGACGUGCCAGCCACUGUGCGGGCGAAGAUAGCGGCGUCGUCUUCUCCGGUGGGCUCGGCUUCGCCUGUCCCAGCGAUGGGGUGCUUCGAGACCGUGAUCCGCGCUUCCCCGCUGCGCAAGGUGCCAGUGAGCAUGCCCAGGAUGGUGCACUGA